GAAUUGCCUUGCUAGGAGAAUGGAUUUAGUGUGGGAAGCAAUAAGCAGCCACUAGAGGCUUGGAGCAGAGAAAUAAUUACCUGAAACCAUUUCAGUAAUCACCCCUCUGAGCACUGGGGUCAAGGAAUAUAUAUUGAGCAGUUUAUAAUUCCCUCUCUUUGCUCCCUUCAGGUCUGCUCCUGUGUCUAUGACAGCACACAGACAGCACUGAAGUGCAAUGGAUCUGCAUAAUGUGGCCACCUCUCCCACAGGAUUACCCGGGAGCACUGAUUAUCCAUCUUUUAAUCCUUGGCUGCCAACAGGAAGAUCUUGGGGUCACUGUGCAAGUCAGCAUAUAUCACAGCAUUAGGCAAAUGCAGGGUUGUGAACACAGGGCUGCAAGCCAGGGGACAGGUUUUCAUUGUGGCUCUGUUUUUGACUGGCUGUGUGAGGCUGCACAAGUCACUUGGGCUCCCCAAGUCUUGGUACUUCAUUUGUGGCAUAAAGGGUUUGGACAGAAUGAGUGAUCCUCAUUUGAG
rnacentral:lncRNA from 1 species